CGUUGCUCCUCCGGCGAGCUUCGGUCACAUGUGUCUGCACAGCGGGCAGUACAGAUGGCAAAGGCGAGAUGGAUAACGACGGCGUCGGUCACAUGUUUGCGCCAUGUGAAUCAAGAAGGCCUGAUGGGUUGGUCGAGGACAAGACUUAUUUGGAGUUUCGCUGUCCAGAAGGUUGUGCAGACUGCAGAAGCUCACCGGCCGGCCGACUAGGAAGGGAUUACUCUGUGGCAUCCUUACCUCUGAUGAAUCCAUUGGAUUCAUCCAGCACCAGCAUUUUGCAGCAAGCACGGUGAUUCAUGUGAGCAAGCGACAGGAGGAGAGGAGGGGACACCGUGCUCGCCAUGGAAGAAAGAAUGGACCACCUGGAAAGCUCCGGUGAUUACAGACGAUGGCAGCCACUGUGAUGCCUGCACAGUGGACGAGUUAUGUCUACAGGAACAAAUGAACAGGACGCGAGGCCAGCGUGGUCUUCCUAACGAAGGCAGGCGCAGCAGAAGGCCAAUGAAUCGGGCCAAGUACAUCAAUGUGUUGCCACAGCUGGUGAUCUCCAGCUCCGCAGUGAGCCAGUAAGCAAGCACUGUGCCCAGCUCCCGGUUCUUGUAGAUUCUUAGCAUAUCCCAGUUGCAGCAAGCCAGCAGCAGUGGCUUCAGAGUUGUGUUCCCCUGCCAUGGUGCAAUACUCAAGGAAAGAGGAGGCUCCUUGCUUUUUUCACGUGAUACUGACAUGUGGGCCCAUUGUUGACGCUAGUUUGAGCGAACAAAGGUGAUGAGUAUCUUUCCUGGACUAAAUAAGUACACAGUGAUUUAUACAGGUACUACUAAUAAGCUAAGUAUCUUUCCUGCACUAAAUAGGUAUACAGUGAUAUACAGGUACUGAUAAGUAGCUUUCCUGGACUAACAGGUACUAAUAAGUAUAUCUUUCCUGGACUAAAUAUGCCCGGAAUAAUGUGGAUUGAUGGUAAUAGCCAGAAAUGGCGGUCUAUUUCUUUGGUUCCA